CCAGAGAUGGAUUGGUGCCUUCGGGAACGUCUGACACAGGUGCUGCAUGGCUGUCGUCAGCUCGUGUCGUGAGAUGUUGGGUUAAGUCCCGUAACGAGCGCAACCCUUGUCCUUAGUUACCAGCACGUUAUGGUGGGCACUCUAAGGAGACUGCCGGUGACAAACCGGAGGAAGUGGGGAUGACGUCAAGUCCUCAUGGCCUUUAUGACCAGGGCUACACACGUACUACAAUGGCCGAUACAAAGGGCAGCGACACUGCGAAGUGAAGCCAAUCCCGUAAAAUCGGUCUCAGUCCGGAUUGGAGUCUGCAACUCGACUCCAUGAAGUUGGAAUCGCUAGUAAUCGUGGAUCAGCAUGCCACGGUGAAUACGUUCCCGGGCCUU
rnacentral:rRNA from 1 species